CACGUAGGGCGCAAGCGUUGUCCGGAAUUAUUGGGCGUAAAGAGCUCGUAGGCGGUCUGUCGCGUCGGAUGUGAAAACCCAGGGCUCAACCCUGGGCCUGCAUUCGAUACGGGCAGACUAGAGUACGGCAGGGGAGACUGGAAUUCCUGGUGUAGCGGUGAAAUGCGCAGAUAUCAGGAGGAACACCGGUGGCGAAGGCGGGUCUCUGGGCCGUAACUGACGCUGAGGAGCGAAAGCGUGGGGAGCAAACAGG
rnacentral:rRNA from 1 species